rnacentral:rRNA from 1 species
UACGUAGGCAGCGAGCGUUGUUCGGAAUUACUGGGCGUAAAGAGUGUGUAGGCGGUGCUCUAAGUUCGGUGUGAAAUCUCCUGGCUCAACUGGGAGGGUGCGCCGGAAACUGGAGUGCUUGAGCGUGGGAGAGGAAAGCGGAAUUCCUGGUGUAGCGGUGAAAUGCGUAGAUAUCAGGAGGAACACCUGUGGUGUAGACGGCUUUCUGGACCAUAGCUGACGCUGAGGAGCGAAAGCGUGGGGAGCAAACAGG